GAUGAACGCUGGCGGCGUGCUUAACACAUGCAAGUCGAACGGACAGGCCACAACUUUCUGUGUUACUCGAUUGCCGAACGGGUGAGUAUCACGUGGGUGAUCUGUCCUUUACUUCGUGAUAAGCCUGCGAAACUCCGUCUCAUAUCGCAUAUGAUUUAUUUGUGCGCGUGUGGUUGUAGUGCUUUUGCGGUAUGGGAUGAGCUCGCGGCCUAUCCGCUUGUCGGUGGGGUAAUGGCCUACGAAGGCGUUGCCGGGUAGCCGGCAUGUGAGGGGGGACGGCCACAAUGGGACUGAGGUACGGACCAGACUGCAACGGGAGGCAGCAGUGGGGAGUAUUGCACAAUGGGCGCAAGCCUGAGGCAGAGAUGUCGCGUGGGGGAUGACGGCCUUCGGGUUGUAAACAACUUUCGUCAGGGACGAAGAGAAAGUGACGGUACCUGGACAAGAAGCACCGGCUAACUACGUG
rnacentral:rRNA from 1 species